CCAUGUUACUUCAAGGAGCUAUGGAGUCUGUCUUGGAAAAGAAAACUGGUAGGACUUUUGGACCCACGGGAAGCAAGAAGAUGGUUUACUUUAUCGACGAUAUCAAUAUGCCACAGGUCGACAAGUAC
rnacentral:snRNA from 1 species